GGGCCCCGCAAGGAUUUGCGGGUGCCCUAUAGUAAUCACUCUGUCUGUCCGUCUGUCUGUCUGUUCUUACGAGAGGUACAUUGUGGGGUAAAAUUAACGUAUUUUCCAGCAGUGUGGGGUUUUUUGGGUACUGUGGGGUUAACCCCAUAAUGAAGAGGUCUAAUUACGUUCAAAAUUACUCUAUGAGGUCGAAAAACCUAAAAUUAGAUUUAACCUCACAAAGACUUUGUCCAAAUUUUGGACAUGUCCUUAGCCCAAAACGCUCAGACAUUCAGAAAUCUGCUGUUUAGAGGAGUUCGGGAAUUGAAUCGAGGAGUUCCGAAUACCUGAGCAUGCGCAUAUAUUUAAAACUAACUGCGCAUGCGCAGAAUACGGAAGUAGCUGUGUUUGGAUUAGCAGUGAGGAAAUUCGGAAACACAAAAAGCAAAUGCAGUAAGUCUUACUAUUUUGUUGCACCACAUUGAAAAAAAGCUUUGUAAGUUGUUUGAUAUGAUUCAUACGUACAUUAUGCAGUUGUAGAAUUUAUUUAAAGUCAAGGAAAGGACACUUGUAGUCCACAUAAACACAUACCUAUUGAAAACGGGCUUUUGUGAAAAAAAUUAUAAUGAAUGCACUGAUAGUUCUUUUUUUAAUCAGAGGUCUGCAAUGAAAAUCGACCGAUACCCGGGGGUCGGGCUAGUGGUUUUCUGCAAGAGGGUCGCCCCGUUGGCCAGUAAAACAAGAUAAUAUUAUUUAUACACGUGCAAUACAUGCAAAGCACACCUGAGUUCAGAUACUGAAAGUGAACAUAAGUGGAACUUUGAUGAUCUAGGCCGCUCUAUUUUUGCAGCAACACCAGCAGGCGUCGGACAUUCAUAAAGUUGAAAGAACAAACCUAUGACUUGAACACACAAUUUGUGAUCUGAAUAUAGUUCACAAAUUUAAGGAAAGCAACUAUCAAAGACAUUCAGAUUGAUGGUAUACAUGAAGUAUGAAUGAAAGACUUUUCAGAAGAACAAGCACAAUCCGGAUUCAUUCUUGCCAUUGUCUUCUCCAGACGGCGACAUUUAGGACCUGACUUACUUUUCAGAAAAAGAAGAUGAAUCGAUUUUUGAUAGUUGAUCUUAAAAAGAUAACAUUUUCAGGGGUCGUGGAUUGAAUGACAUUUUCUUGAUGGGCAACUUGUUUCAAGUAUUUGGAUGUCUAUUCUCAAGUUACUGCAAACCUUAAAUUAACUUCUUGAUUAUUAGUUAAAUGUGAGACCGUUUCUUACUUGAAGUAAUCAUUUUUUGAAUUGAGCUUUGUAAUCUCUGAUUACUUAUGUUUAUGAGUAGUGUUCAGCUUUAAGACAAAAGGAUCUUUUAUGAACACUGCAUUCGUCAUGGUGAAUUUCUAUACAUUAAGAAACAGUCAUAGUUUUCGUCUUUUUUAAUUAGCGAUCUCAUUUUAAAUGUGAGAAAUAAUUAUGAAACUGA